rnacentral:rRNA from 1 species
AGUGAACGCUGGCGGUAGGCCUAACACAUGCAAGUCGAACGGCAGCACAGUAAGAGCUUGCUCUUACGGGUGGCGAGUGGCGGACGGGUGAGGAACACAUCGGAAUCUACUUUUUCGUGGGGGAUAACGUAGGGAAACUUACGCUAAUACCGCAUACGACCUACGGGUGAAAGCAGGGGAUCUUCGGACCUUGCGCGAUUGAAUGAGCCGAUGUCGGAUUAGCUAGUUGGCGGGGUAAAGGCCCACCAAGGCGACGAUCCGUAGCUGGUCUGAGAGGAUGAUCAGCCACACUGGAACUGAGACACGGUCCAGACUCCUACGGGAGGCAGCAGUGGGGAAUAUUGGACAAUGGGCGCAAGCCUGAUCCAGCCAUACCGCGUGGGUGAAGAAGGCCUUCGGGUUGUAAAGCCCUUUUGUUAGGAAAGAAAAGCAGCAGGUUAAUACCCCGCUGUUCUGACGGUACCCAAAGAAUAAGCACCGGCUAACUUCGUG